UCGGUCGGACGCUCCUUCGUCCGCGCGCAUAUACUUGUACGCGCGCUCUAGUAGCUCGGCGUAUGUCCGGGGGAGGGUCUUGUCCAGAGAGUAGGUGAAUCGGGACGCCCUCAGGCCCCGCUUCAUGGCUGAGACAGCCAUGUCUUCGUUGAGGUCCCGGACCUCAAGCGUGGCCGUGUUGAAUCGCGCCACGAAGUAUCGGAGUGUCUCAUUUUCCCCCUGCUUGAGGGAGAAAAGGCUGUCCGACGUUCGCGGCGGCUUU
rnacentral:lncRNA from 1 species